GUUGGGAAUAUUGGGCAAUGGGGGCAACCCUGAUCCAGCCAUGCCGCGUGAGCGAUGAAGGCCUUCGGGUUGUAAAGCUCUUUUGGCGGGGACGAUGAUGACGGUACCCGCAGAAUAAGCCCCGGCUAACUUCGUGCCAGCAGCCGCGGUAAGACGAAGGGGGCAAGCGUUGUUCGGAAUUACUGGGCGUAAAGGGCGCGUAGGCGGUUUGCUUAGUCAGGCGUGAAAGCCCUGGGCUUAACCUGGGAUGUGCGCUUGAUACUGGCAGGCUUGAGUGUGGGAGAGGUUGGUGGAAUUCCCAGUGUAGAGGUGAAAUUCGUAGAUAUUGGGAAGAACACCGGUGGCGAAGGCGGCCAACUGGACCACAACUGACGCUGAGGCGCGAAAGCGUGGGGA
rnacentral:rRNA from 1 species